UGCCCGAAUUUCACACUUUUCUCUCUCUCCAUUUUGUUGAAUGUAAUGUAGUAAAUACUUUGAUUUUGGAUAUAUUGAUUGCAAUGCUAAACUGUGAGGGAAUAAUCAAUCCAAUUACCUUCAACUUAACAAAUAUUGAAAUGACCUACUAAAUUUUGUUUCAGUAAUUGCCUCCCCUGUGCUUCUGCACAAGAAUUGCCAGAAAUCAACCAUGGACUUAGAAGCACAGAUACGGACACCGGACACGACACAGACGCUGACACGCCGACACAGCUAAGAAUUUGAAAAAAAUCACAUAAUUCAAUGUAAUUACAAGUGUCUGUGUCGUGUCGGUGACACGUGUCCGACACUGGGACACGCCUAAUCCGAGGAGUGUCCGUGCUUCACGUUGACUCGCAGCCAAGUAUGGAGGAAACUAUUUUGGUUGGUGAUGAUCUAAUGAUGGGUUCUCCAUCACCAGAAAUAGCCUCUCAUGUGCUUCAAGGUGUUGAUCUAUGUGAUGGAAUUCUCAGGAAUCUAUUUUUGAGCUUGCAAAUCAACGACAUUGAACCAUUCUGUCAAGACGAGAUUGCUCUAUAUAAACAAUGUGCUGAAAGAAGGGAUAAAGAGAUAAGGAAGCGGCUUCAAGAUAGUGAAUUCAAAUUGGGUUCGUCAAUGCCUUUAGGUGCAGCCAAGAAGAGGUCUACUCAGCUUGAGGCAGAAGUUACAUCAUUGGAGAGGCGCUUGAUUCUUGCUAGUGGAGUUCAGGGCAUAGAAGGUUUCCGCACAAGAUGGAGCUUGCAUUGCAUGGCCGCCUUACUGAUUCCAAGGGUUUGAUCCACGGAUCUUACUGGAGUCUCAGUUUCCUAGGAUGUGUUUGAUAUAAGUAACUGAUAAACUAAUUAAAAGUUGUAAAGUUGCUAAGUUGCUGCAAGAAAAAGAUUGGAGUCCUUAAAGCAAGGCAUGGAUGGAAGAAAAAGAUGAAUCCUUAGGGGAAUCAACUAACUACCGGAGUUAGGUUCUUGUCUUGAGGGGAGGGUUGAACCUUCAUCAGGUGGCUGCACAUUGCCAUGUUCCCCUCCCAAUUUAAAUCACAGAAAUUCUAUUACUUUUUAACCCUCAUUUUUAUGAUAUAUGUAAUGGGUAACAGGUAGCAUGUAUUAGAAUGAAAAUAAGUUAUUGUCUAAAAUGAGUAUUACAGGCAUUUCAAGAUUCUUUUUAGCCAAAGUCAUCUUUGUAUUAAAUGGUGUGGUCCUCUAAAGUGACUAGGAAACUACUUAUUUUAAAUGUAUAUUAAAUAUAUUUAUUAAUCAAUAAAUAAACCAAUAGUUGAUAUUUACA